rnacentral:siRNA from 1 species
UCCGCAGUUAAGCGUGCUUGGGC